rnacentral:tRNA from 2 species
GACUCCGUAGCUCAGUUGGUUUAGAGCGUCCGACUGUUAUUUCUUCUUAAAGUGAUCGGGAGGUCGACAGUUCAAACCUGUCCGGAGUCG